rnacentral:snRNA from 1 species
GUGCUCACUUCAGUGUCACAUAUACUUAACUUGAAAUAAUGCAGAGACGAUUAGCAUGGCCCCUGCACAAGGAUGACUUGUAAAGCAUUCUGUAGUUUU